rnacentral:ribozyme from 10 species
AAAAGGAAAAAACCCAUCAGGAAGAAAAAGGAAAUCAGGAUUUUUGGCUUCACUUUUUUGUGAUCCUCAUGAUAAUAUUUUUUCUUUUUCUUAUUUUCUUUAUAGUU